GUAAGGUAAAAAUAGCUCUGGAAUUUUCAAAGACAGAUUUAAAGAUAUAUGUUUUGUAUACAUAACAAGUAAAUGUAAAUGAUAAUAAUAGUUAACAUGUACUUUCGAUGCACAAUAUCGUUCAGUCCUUACAUCAAUUUUAAGACCUUUUAACAGAUGAGGAAACUGAGGCACAAGGAAUGAGGUAACCUGUCCAAGAUCCCAGAUAGGUCAGCAGUAAAGUCAGGACAUGAACUCAAUUCAGUGACUGGCAUUCAGCAAAGACGGCCGGGGCAGUGAUAGAGAGAGACUGAGACAGACCGAGAGAGAUGGAGAGCUCUUCUUGAGGCAGCCGGGUGGGAAGAACAUGGGGUGGGACAGAAAGCAGAGUGAGCCCCAGAGACUCCCUCAAGGAGCUGGAAUUCUAGUUGAGGAUCCGCAUGAGUUAGCACUUCAGUACUCACAUACUCAGAAAUGCUGUGUCAGGGAGGGUGGGGAGGAGAGGCUAGAAUUCAGACUGAGAGACUCAGGUAGGCUUUACCAUAGAGGCUUCGGAGUUAGACUGGAAGACAGGGGGAUUUCUGUCUUUGAAUCUUCUGCCAGUAGAAUCUAGCUGGCAAGGGGACUAGAUGUGGCUGGAAAGAGCAGCUGAGGGAGGGAGGUUAAGCACCAGGAAGGAAUGGCGGCCACAGUAGACCGUGGGGCAUUCUUUUGAAGAAGUUUCACGUGGAGCCUUUCAUAGCCAUGCCUUUGAAAUUUGUUUUUGCUGCUCUCUGUACUUCCAAUGCCCUCCCCUCUCUCCAUUUGCACCUGGGAGCUCAGGCCAAGAAUGAAUGCAUCUGUUUUCCGCAGUGUUAUUGAUCCCCGUGGUGGGAAGUGAACUCUCCCUUUCCUAAGCCUGCUGGAGUUCAUUCUCUGUCGUCACCUUGCUAGUGGCCUUGCAGGUACUUGUACCUUGCAGCAUAAGUGCCACUACCCUGGGUUGCCCUGAAGGGAGAGAUGGCACCCUACACUUCCCUGCCCUCACUCAGGACUGGUUCCUGCCUGCCUCCUCCCUCAGCUCCUUCCUGCUAAAUGAGUCCAUGGAUGAGUUAUGGGAGCCCCUCAGGCAAUCCCCCACUGGCCUCAAGAGGUCUUGGCACUCACUAUGCAAUACAGUUAGAAUUCUCUGGGAAGCAGACGGAACUGAACCAUAACUAUUAUCGACUCUCGAGAUACCUCCCCAAGAUGUGUGUUCCCCUUUACCAGAAAAUAUGCCAGGCAGAGAAAGGAGAAAGUUUCAUGCCAGAAGGAUCCCUUGCAAAAGUCCCCUGGGUCUACAAUCUACAUUUGCUUUUUUUCUGUUUUGAUUUGACAGUUGAAAAACAAAAACCUAGCCCGUCAUUAUUCUAAGUAAGGCAAGAGAAGCUUGACAGGAUGCCUUCGUGAGCCCCUUCUCUGCAGCAGGGGAAGAAAGAAAAGGGGCUUGAAGCCUCUCUGCAGAGGCUCUUCCAGAGUGUGGCUGCAGGGUCCAGGUGACCCGUCAAUGGCGGUAAGGACCCUGGACAGGCGGGCAGUGAAGAGGCCCCUUCGGUGUGGGACUGCCCCAUAUUGCAUGGCACUACUUUGGACAGGGACUAAUGAGACUGUGAAAACAUGUUGCCUGGCCUCUGUCUCUUGGUGUCCAGAAACUUCUGCGUUACUGUGAUGGAAGCAUUCAGACGAGGCUGGUCUGCAGAGGCCACUGAUGUCCUGGGUGCUCCUGAGCCUGCAGCCUCCUGCAAGCCCCCGCUCCACAGCCAGGACUCGUGAGGCCUUUGGAGGCCCUGGAGGUUUGCUUUGCCAUCUCUGCUUUGAGGGUCACGGAAGCAGAGUCUGACCCCACAACCAGCCCCAUGCCUUCCUUCCUCCCUUCUGUUCAUUUUCCCAGUGAAGCUUAGAGGGCUCCUUCUGUUGGCCAUGCCUGCCCACCCUGCUGUCCUGGUCCUGGGCCCAGACCACACUUGACUUUUCCUCUGUCUCCAGGAUGCACUGGAUGGCUGUGUGACUGCCCAUGGCAUAACCUUAGGGGGUGCCACUCACAUAAAUGGUGAGGUGAAUUGCACUAUGGAACGCAAUAGCCCAUGAGCCCCGUCCACAGCUCAUUACAGUCCUGGUCAGGGCGGAGUCCAUCAGAGGCUCCCCGGGUUGGCAAUUCAGGGUUUUUGUUGCUGUUGUUUCGAGAAAGGAUCUUGCUGUGUCAUCCACGCUGGAGUGCAGUGGUGCAAUCACGGCUCGCUGCAGCCUCAAUCUCCCGGGCUCAACUGAUUCUCCCACCUCAGCCUCCUAAGUAGCUGGAACCACAAGCAUGCACCACCACGCCUACCUAAUUUUUUAUUUUAAUUUUUUUCUUUUUUUUUCCACCUAUGUGACAACUGAAGAUCCCAGCUAAUUCUUUUUUUUUAAGAGAUGGGGUCUUGC
rnacentral:lncRNA from 10 species